UACGAGGGGGGCGAGCGUUGUUCGGAAUUAUUGGGCGUAAAGGGUGCGUAGGCGGUUUGGUAAGUCUCGUGUGAAAUCUCCGGGCUCAACUCGGAGCCUGCACGAGAAACUGCCGGGCUUGAGUGUGGGAGAGGUGAGUGGAAUUCCUGGUGUAGCGGUGAAAUGCGUAGAUAUCAGGAGGAACACCGAUGGCGAAGGCAGCUCGCUGGGACGGUACUGACGCUGAGACGCGAAAGCGUGGGGAGCAAACAGG
rnacentral:rRNA from 1 species